rnacentral:rRNA from 1 species
UGGGGAAUUUUGGACAAUGGGCGAAAGCCUGAUCCAGCAAUGCCGCGUGUGUGAAGAAGGCCUUCGGGUUGUAAAGCACUUUUGUCCGGAAAGAAAUCCUUGGCUCUAAUACAGUCGGGGGAUGACGGUACCGGAAGAAUAAGCACCGGCUAACUACGUGCCAGCAGCCGCGGUAAUACGUAGGGUGCAAGCGUUAAUCGGAAUUACUGGGCGUAAAGCGUGCGCAGGCGGUUUGCUAAGACCGAUGUGAAAUCCCCGGGCUCAACCUGGGAACUGCAUUGGUGACUGGCAGGCUAGAGUAUGGCAGAGGGGGGUAGAAUUCCACGUGUAGCAGUGAAAUGCGUAGAGAUGUGGAGGAAUACCGAUGGCGAAGGCAGCCCCCUGGGCCAAUACUGACGCUCAUGCACGGAAGCGUGGGGAGCAAACAGGAUUAGAUACCCUGGUAGUCCACGCCCUAAACGAUGUCAACUAGUUGUUGGGGAUUCAUUUCCUUAGUAACGUAGCUAACGCGUGAAGUUGACCGCCUGGGGAGUACGGUCGCAAGAUUAAAACUCAAAUGAAUUGACGGGGUCAUAGCUGUUUCCU